rnacentral:tRNA from 1 species
GCUUGAUUAGCUCAGCUGGUUAGAGCGUCGUACUAAUACAGAAUAUCAUCUGUAUCCAGUCAUGCGAAGGUCAACAGUUCAAUCCUGUUAUCGAGCA